CCUACGGGAGGCUGCAGUCGAGAAUCAUUCACAAUGGGGGAAACCCUGAUGGUGCGACGCCGCGUGGGGGAAUGAAGGUCUUCGGAUUGUAAACCCCUGUCAUGUGGGAGCAAAUUAAAAAGAUAGUACCACAAGAGGAAGAGACGGCUAACUCUGUGCCAGCAGCCGCGGUAAUACAGAGGGCUCAAGCGGUGUUCGGAAUCCCCGGGCGUAAAGCGUGCGUAGGCUGUUUCGGACGUCGGGUGUGAAAGGUGCGGGCUCAACCCGCGGACCGCACAUGAUACUGCGAGACUGGAGUAAGCGAGGGGGACGCGGAAUGCGCGGUGUAGCAGUGAAAUGCGUAGAUAUCGCGAGGAACACUCGUGGCGAAGGCGGGGUCCUGGCCCUUAACUGACGCUGAUGCACGAAGGCCAGGGGAGCGAAAAGGAUUAGAUACCCGGGUAGUC
rnacentral:rRNA from 1 species